rnacentral:misc_RNA from 1 species
UACGAGGGGUGCAAGCGUUAUUCGGAAUCAUUGGGCGUAAAGGGUGCGUAGGCGGCGCGCUAAGUCAACUGUCAAAUCUCCCGGCCUAACUGGGAACCGGCAGUAGAUACUGGUGUGCUAGAGGGUGGAAGAGAGAAGUGGAAUUCUUGGAGUAGCGGUAAAAUGCGUAGAUCUCAAGAGGAACACCGAUGGCGAAGGCAGCUUCUUGGUCCACAUCUGACGCUAAGGCACGAAAGCGUGGGGAGCAAACAGG